GUGGGGAAUAUUGGACAAUGGGGGCAACCCUGAUCCAGCCAUGCCGCGUGCGGGAAGAAGGCCUUCGGGUUGUAAACCGCUUUUGUCAGGGAAGAAAUCCUUUGGGUUAAUACCUCGGAGGGAUGACGGUACCUGAAGAAUAAGCACCGGCUAACUACGUGCCAGCAGCCGCGGUAAUACGUAGGGUGCGAGCGUUAAUCGGAAUUACUGGGCGUAAAGCGUGCGCAGGCGGUUUUGUAAGAUCGAUGUGAAAUCCCCGGGCUCAACCUGGGAACUGCAUUGGUGACUGCAAGGCUGGAGUGCGGCAGAGGGGGAUGGAAUUCCGCGUGUAGCAGUGAAAUGCGUAGAUAUGCGGAGGAACACCGAUGGCGAAGGCAAUCCCCUGGGCCUGCACUGACGCUCAUGCACGAAAGCGUGGGGAGCAAACAGGAUUAGAAACCCGUGUAGUCC
rnacentral:rRNA from 1 species